UGGAUAUUAGUUAAUUUAUAACAUUUAAAUUGCAUUUAAAAAUUAAUAAAAUUUAUUAUAUCUAA
rnacentral:tRNA from 1 species